rnacentral:rRNA from 1 species
GACGAACGCUGGCGGCGUGCUUAACACAUGCAAGUCGAACGGAAAGGCCCUUCGGGGUACUCGAGUGGCGAACGGGUGAGUAACACGUGGGUGAUCUGCCCUGCACUUUGGGAUAAGUCUGGGAAACUGGGUCUAAUACCGAAUAGGACCACGGCCUUCAUGGGUUGUGGUGGAAAGCUUUUGCGGUGUGGGAUGGGCCCGCGGCCUAUCAGCUUGUUGGUGGGGUAAUGGCCUACCAAGGCGACGACGGGUAGCCGGCCUGAGAGGGUGACCGGCCACACUGGGACUGAGAUACGGCCCAGACUCCUACGGGAGGCAGCAGUGGGGAAUAUUGCACAAUGGGCGCAAGCCUGAUGCAGCGACGCCGCGUGAGGGAUGACGGCCUUCGGGUUGUAAACCUCUUUCAGCAGGGACGAAGCGCAAGUGACGGUACCUGUAGAAGAAGGACCGGCCAACUACGUGCCAGCCGCCGCCGUAACAC